GUAGGUGAACCUGCGGAAGGAUCAUUAACACGUAUCCACGUAUCAACCCUGGUGUCACGAGUGCGCGAGCCGGCCAAUCAGUUGACCGUAUGCAGCGGAGCAAUCCGUUGCGCGUGCUCAGUUUUCUUUUUUAUCUCCUAUUGAAUUUUAACCACUUGAACCCAUCAGACUAAAACUAUUUCGCGUCUUUUUGCGUUUUCGAACGCUGAAAAACCGAAACAAUAAAAUAACAAGAAACAACUCUUAGCGACGGAUUUCUUGGCUCCC
rnacentral:misc_RNA from 1 species